UCGAGCGGAGANGAGGUGCUUGCACCUUAUCUUAGCGGCGGACGGGUGAGUAAUGCUUAGGAAUCUGCCUAUUAGUGGGGGACAACAUUCCGAAAGGAAUGCUAAUACCGCAUACGUCCUACGGGAGAAAGCAGGGGAUCUUCGGACCUUGCGCUAAUAGAUGAGCCUAAGUCGGAUUAGCUAGUUGGUGGGGUAAAGGCCUACCAAGGCGACGAUCUGUAGCGGGUCUGAGAGGAUGAUCCGCCACACUGGGACUGAGACACGGCCCAGACUCCUACGGGAGGCAGCAGUGGGGAAUAUUGGACAAUGGGGGGAACCCUGAUCCAGCCAUGCCGCGUGUGUGAAGAAGGCCUUAUGGUUGUAAAGCACUUUAAGCGAGGAGGAGGCUACUGAGACUAAUACUCUUGGAUAGUGGACGUUACUCGCAGAAUAAGCACCGGCUAACUCUGUGCCAGCAGCCGCGGUAAUACAGAGGGUGCGAGCGUUAAUCGGAUUUACUGGGCGUAAAGCGUGCGUAGGCGGCUUUUUAAGUCGGAUGUGAAAUCCNCUGAGCUUAACUUGGGAAUUGCAUUCGAUACUGGGAAGCUAGAGUAUGGGAGAGGAUGGUAGAAUUCCAGGUGUAGCGGUGAAAUGCGUAGAGAUCUGGAGGAAUACCGAUGGCGAAGGCAGCC
rnacentral:rRNA from 1 species